GAAGGUUGGGUAACACUAACUGGAGGACCGAACCGACUAAUGUUGAAAAAUUAGCGGAUGACCUGUGGCUGGGGGUGAAAGGCCAAUCAAACCGGGAGAUAGCUGGUUCUCCCCGAAAGCUAUUUAGGUAGCGCCUCGUGAAUUCAUCUCCGGGGGUAGAGCACUGUUUCGGCUAGGGGGCCAUCCCGGCUUACCAACCCGAUGCAAACUGCGAAUACCGGAGAAUGUUAUCACGGGAGACACACGGCGGGUGCUAACGUCCGUCGUGAAGAGGGAAACAACCCAGACCGCCAGCUAAGGUCCCAAAGUCAUGGUUAAGUGGGAAACGAUGUGGGAAGGCCCAGACAGCCAGGAUGUUGGCUUAGAAGCAGCCAUCAUUUAAAGAAAGCGUAAUAGCUCACUGGUCGAGUCGGCCUGCGCGGAAGAUGUAACGGGGCUAAACCAUGCACCGAAGCUGCG
rnacentral:rRNA from 1 species